CCUACGGGAGGCAGCAGUAAGGAAUAUUGGUCAAUGGACGAAAGUCUGAACCAGCCAUCCCGCGUGCAGGAUGAAAGCCCUAUGGGUUGUAAACUGCUUUUAGCAGAGAAGAAAAGCUUCCAUUUAUGGGGGUCUGACGGUAUCUGCAGAAUAAGCACCGGCUAACUCCGUGCCAGCAGCCGCGGUAAUACGGCGGGUGCGAGCGUUAUCCGGGUUUACUGGGUUUUAGGGGUGGUUUUACGGAGUAGUAGAAAUCUUGUAGCUUAACGAUAAAAUUGCCAAUGAUACUGGUACUCUUGAAUUGGGUUGAGGUUAGCGGAAUGUGACAUGUAGCGGUGAAAUGCAUAGAUAUGUCAUGGAACACCAAUUGCGAAGGCAGCUAACUGGGCCUUGAUUGACGCUGAGGCACGAAAGCGUGGGUAGCGAACAGGAUUAGAUACCCGAGUAGUC
rnacentral:rRNA from 1 species